rnacentral:rRNA from 1 species
AUUGAACGCUGGCGGCAUGCUUUACACAUGCAAGUCGAACGGUAACAGGGAGCUUGCUCCGCUGACGAGUGGCGAACGGGUGAGUAAUGCGUCGGAACGUGCCGAGUAGUGGGGGAUAACGCAUCGAAAGGUGUGCUAAUACCGCAUACGUACUGAGGUAGAAAGUGGGGGACCUUCGGGCCUCACGCUAUUCGAGCGGCCGACGUCUGAUUAGCUAGUUGGGGAGGUAAAGGCUCACCAAGGCGACGAGCAGUAGCGGGUCUGAGAGGAUGAUCCGCCACACUGGGAAUGAGACACGGCCCAGACUCCUACGGGAGGCAGCAGUGGGGAAUUUUGGACAAUGGGCGCGAGCCUGAUCCAGCCAUGCCGCGUGUCUGAAGAAGGCCUUCGGGUUGUAAAGGACUUUUGUCCGGGAGCAAAUGCUGGUGGCUAACAUCCACCGGAGCUGAGAGUACCGGAAGAAUAAGCACCGGCUAACUACGUGCCAGCCGCCGCAGUAACAC